rnacentral:rRNA from 1 species
AUACGUAGGGGGCGAGCGUUGUCCGGAAUGAUUGGGCGUAAAGGGCGCGUAGGCGGCGCGGUAAGUCUGGAGUAAAAGUCCUGCUUUCAAGGUGGGAAUUGCUUUGAAUACUGCCGCGCUUGAGUGCAGGAGAGGUUACCGGAAUUCCCGGUGUAGCGGUGAAAUGCGUAGAGAUCGGGAGGAACACCAGUGGCGAAGGCGGGUAACUGGACUGCAACUGACGCUGAGGCGCGAAAGUGUGGGGAGCAAACAGGAUUAGAUACCCUGGUAGUCCACACUGUAAACGAUGAAUGCUAGGUGUAAGAGGUAUCGACCCCUUUUGUGCCGGAGUCAAAACAAUAAGCAUUCCGCCUGGGGAGUACGGCCGCAAGGUUGAAACUCAAAGGAAUUGACGGG